UAAUACGAAGGGGGCUAGCGUUGUUCGGAAUCACUGGGCGUAAAGCGCACGUAGGCGGGUUUGUCAGUCAGGGGUGAAAUCCCGGGGCUUAACCUCGGAACUGCCUUUGAUACAGCAAAUCUCGAGCCCGGAAGAGGUGGGUGGAAUUCCUAGUGUAGAGGUGAAAUUCGUAGAUAUUAGGAAGAACACCAGUGGCGAAGGCGGCCCACUGGUCCGG
rnacentral:rRNA from 1 species